UGGAGAAGAAAGGACACAGCCCGGCC
rnacentral:piRNA from 1 species